CCUACGGGAGGCAGCAGUGGGGAAUAUUGCACAAUGGGCGAAAGCCUGAUCCAGCAACGCCGCGUGAGGGAUGACGGCCUUCGGGUUGUAAACCUCUUUCAGCAGGGACGAAGCGCAAGUGACGGUACCUGCAGAAGAAGCACCGGCCAACUACGUGCCAGCAGCCGCGGUAAUACGUAGGGUGCGAGCGUUGUCCGGAAUUAUUGGGCGUAAAGGGCUCGUAGGCGGUUUGUCGCGUCGGAAGUGAAAACUCAGGGCUUAACCCUGUUCGUGCUUCCGAUACGGGCAGACUAGAGGUAGGCAGGGGAGAACGGAAUUCCUGGUGUAGCGGUGGAAUGCGCAGAUAUCAGGAGGAACACCGGUGGCGAAGGCGGUUCUCUGGGCCUAUUCUGACGCUGAGGAGCGAAAGCAUGGGG
rnacentral:rRNA from 1 species